rnacentral:lncRNA from 1 species
CCCUUAUGAUGUGACUCUUCUGCCUGUGCUGGAGCCACCGAAGGUUCUCUUUGAAUUCCAGCAUGAUGCAUCGAACCAUACCAUGACAUGGCUAGGACCCAACCUGGUACCAGAAAUGAAGAAAAUGACCCUACAGGACCCACAGCCCUGGACGAUGUGGCUUCCUUGGACAACACAGGCCCCAGACAUUAUGCUGAAGAAGCAGAAGGCUUAGCAAAUCCUGCUCCAAGCCGAAAUGCCAGUCACUCCAAAUAAUUUGCUCCAUUUUUAUUCUCUCACUCUGCCUACAACUGGUACCUGCUACACUCUAUUGGGCUCAUCUCUUAAAUCCAUCUUUCUUCUGCCCUGUUACUUAGACAAACACCCACUUCCCAGCUUCUAACAACGUGACUGGUUGGCUAAAAGGGAUUAAUAUACCUUCAGUGGGGUUCCGUAGCAAUGGCACACAUCAGACUAAGGUACCAGGUCACUCCUUGAUUGGAAAAUAAUGUUGCUAAUAAUACUGAUGUUUGUCUUAUGUUACUUACUAAUUCUAGGAUGAAAAGCCAGAAUACAAGCAGUGACCACCACACCUGACAGACCUGUUGCUGCACAUAUCUGUACUCUCCAAUCAACAAAACCUGAUGCUAAAAACAGAAAAGGGGAGAUGUAGGAGAUUGGUCAGGGUGGUGGGAAAAAUUGUAGAAAGAUGCAAACCUUGGAAGGCUGGAAGGUUUUACAAAAGCUUCAGAAUAGGAUUUGGCUGAAGGCAGCCAGAUUCUCUUAUCCUAUGCCUUAAAGCUUAAGUUAGAUAACAAGGGGAUAUAAAGAAACUGAUCUAGGUAAGUUAGUUUACUUAGGCCUUGGAACCUGGCCUUUAAUCAUCUGCAGGACUGCUCUCCAGGGAGGGCGACUAUGUUAAUUAUCCACAAGUGUGUUAACUCAAAG